UGCGUAGGCGGAAGAUUAAGUCAGUGAUGAAAUCCUGCAGCUCAACUGUAGAACUGUCAUUGAUACUGAUUUUCUUGAAUACAGUUGAGGUAGGCGGAAUAUGUAAUGUAGCGGUGAAAUGCUUAGAUAUUACAUAGAACACCGAUUGCGAAGGCAGCUUACUAAACUGUGAUUGACGCUGAGGCAUGAAAGCGUGGGGAGCGAACAGGAUUAGAUACCCUGGUAGUCC
rnacentral:rRNA from 1 species